UUUUUUGGGGGGUAAAAAAUCAUAAUAUGCAAUAUUUUUAAAAAAUGAGUUGCAAAUGGAACUACUUGGCAUGAGGUUAUUAGAGCCUUGGAUAGGUAAAGAAUUCAUAACAGAAUUGAUUUGGCUGCAUUAUUAUUUUUGGAGCAAUAAGAGUUUUUACAGUAUACAUCCAUUGGUAUCCCUUGGGACCCAAAGGGGUCCCCAUCCAAAAGGUGAUAUAGCAAUGGAUUUUAUGAAUUUUUUUUCCAGUUUUUUUCACACCAGAUCUUUUAAACAACUUCAGACCUAUCCACUGAUAUAAAGUUUUUCAUAAUUUUCUCAAUAUUUUUUAUGUUUUUAUGGCUUUAUUGUCAUAAAGACCCCUGUUUAUUUUCUUUGGGGGGUAAAAAACCAUAAUAUGCAAUAUUUUCAAAAAAUGAGUUGCAAAUGGAACUACUUGGCAUGAGGUUAUUAGAGCCUUGGAUAGGUAAAGAAUUCAGAAUAGAAUUGAUUUGGAUGCAUUAUUAUUUUUGGAGCAAUAAGAGUUUUUCAAAUUUACACCCUUUUAUGGUCCUCGGGACCCAAAAUGGUCCCCAUCCAAAAG
ensembl:lncRNA